rnacentral:rRNA from 1 species
GAUGAGCCCGCGUAGGAUUAGCUAGUUGGUGGGGUAAAGGCCCACCAAGGCGACGAUCCGUAGCUGGUCUGAGAGGAUGAUCAGCCACACUGGAACUGAGACACGGUCCAGACUCCUACGGGAGGCAGCAGUGGGGAAUAUUGGACAAUGGGCGCAAGCCUGAUCCAGCCAUGCCGCGUGUGUGAAGAAGGCCUUCGGGUUGUAAAGCACUUUUGUCCGGAAAGAAAAGCUUCGGGUUGAUACCCCGGGGUCCUGACGGUACCGGAAGAAUAAGCACCGGCUAACUUCGUGCCAGCAGCCGCGGUAAUACGAAGGGUGCAAGCGUUACUCGAAAUUACUGGGCGUAAAGCGUGCGUAGGUGGUUUGUUAAGUCUGAUGUGAAAGCCCUGGGCUCAACCUGGGAAUUGCAUUGGAUACUGGCAGGCUAGAGUGCGGUAGAGGAUGGCGGAAUUCCCGGUGUAGCAGUGAAAUGCGUAGAGAUCGGGAGGAACAUCUGUGGCGAAGGCGGCCAUCUGGACCAGCACUGACACUGAGGCACGAAAGCGUGGGGGAGCAAACAGGAUUAGAUACCCUGGUAGUCCACGCCCUAAACGAUGCGAACUGGAUGUUGGGAGCAAUUAGGCUCUCAGUAUCGAAGCUAACGCGUUAAGUUCGCCGCCUGGGGAGUACGGUCGCAAGACUGAA